rnacentral:rRNA from 1 species
CAUGCAGUCGAACGGAGAUUACAGGCGGAAGUUUUCGGAUGGAAGCUUGUAAACUUAGUGGCGGACGGGUGAGUAACACGUGAGCAACCUGCCUAUCAGAGGGGGAUAACGAUUGGAAACGAUCGCUAAUACCGCAUGACAUAGCGGAACCGCAUGGUUCUGUUAUCAAAGAUUUUAUCGCUGAUAGAUGGGCUCGCGUCCGAUUAGAUAGUUGGUGGGGUAACGGCCUACCAAGUCGACGAUCGGUAGCCGGACUGAGAGGUCGAACGGCCACAUUGGGACUGAGACACGGCCCAGACUCCUACGGGAGGCAGCAGUGGGGGAUAUUGCACAAUGGGGGAAACCCUGAUGCAGCGACGCCGCGUGAGGGAAGACGGUCCUCUGGAUUGUAAACCUCUGUCUUCGGGGACGAAACGAGACGGUACCCGAGGAGGAAGCCACGGCUAACUACGUGCCAGCAGCCGCGGUAAUACGUAGGUGGCAAGCGUUGUCCGGAAUUACUGGGUGUAAAGGGAGCGUAGGCGGGCAGGCAAGUCAGGCGUGAAAUAUAUCGGCUCAACCGGUAACGGCGCUUGAAACUGCAGGUCUUGAGUGAAGUAGAGGUUGGCGGAAUUCCUAGUGUAGCGGUGAAAUGCGUAGAUAUUAGGAGGAACACCAGUGGCGAAGGCGGCCAACUGGGCUUUUACUGACGCUGAGGCUCGAAAGUGUGGGGAGCAAACAGGAUUAGAUACCCUGGUAGUCCACACCGUAAACGAUGAUUACUAGGUGUGGGGGGACUGACCCCUUCCGUGCCGGAGUUAACACAAUAAGUAAUCCACCUGGG